rnacentral:rRNA from 1 species
AGCGAACGUUAGCGGCGCGCCUAACACAUGCAAGUCGCACGAGAAACGGAGCAAUCCGCGGUACAGUGGCGCACGGGUGAGUAACACGUGGAUGACCUUCCCUGGAGUGGUGGAUAACCUGCCGAAAGGCGGGUUAAUACAGCAUGGGACCACGACGCUUUGGCGAUGUGGUGAAAGCGGGCCUCUAUAUAUAAGCUCGCGCUCCGGGACGGGUCCGCGUCCCAUCAGCUAGUUGGUGAGGUAACGGCUCACCAAGGCAACGACGGGUAGCUGGUCUGAGAGGAUGGCCAGCCACACUGGAACUGAGACACGGUCCAGACUCCUACGGGAGGCAGCAGUGGGGAAUCUUGCGCAAUGGGCGAAAGCCUGACGCAGCGACGCCGCGUGGGCGAAGAAGGCCUCGG